rnacentral:lncRNA from 1 species
GAAGCCUAGGGGAGCCAGUAAAGAUUAAAUGUGCUUCUCAAAGGCAGCCACUUCAUGCUGCUAUGUCGAAAGGGCCAUUAUUAUUAUUAUAUUUUAAUGGUAAAAGAGAAAAGGAGAGAGGUUGAGCGAGCGAGAGAGAAGCUAGGUGUGAUGAUGACAGACUAGCUUUUCUGAGAGGAAAAGGAAAAGGGAAGGGAGAGAAAAAGGAGAGCCUCUGAGCUCAACGGAGGAUUGUGCCUGAGAAGAACCCACAGAGAUGUGACUGGAGUGAUUUGCACCCGGAUGCCUAGACUCGCCAUCUGCUCAAAGACUGCUCAGAAAGCCCUCCCAUGCAUUCCCCUGCUGCAUACCAGCCCACUCUGCCUGCAGCUGCUGUCUGCAGGACUUCAUAUCUAUGCCACACUGUGUAAAAGCUGUGCUUCAAGAAAUCACAAAAACAUUUUCCUGCACCUACUACACAGCCUGAGUGCGGCAUAAGUUGACCUUGCUUGCUAAGAAAUGGGGCAAGAAAUGCUUUUUUGUGUGUGUCAUGUCUGUUUGUUUUUCAAUUAAGAGAGGAAAGCAUUAGGCAGAUGGAAUGUACAUGUGAGGAUGAGGAGACAGAAAACAAGUAGCCCUUUCCAUCAAGAUAGAGGGUUUUCUGGGGUUGCUGGCUAUUGAAUGUCACUCCUGAUUUCUCUUUCCAAGGCACUGUACCACCAGCCUACUGAGAUUGUGUGGGAGCUUUCAUGGGGGUUGUAUUUCACUGAUGAAAAUAAAUUUUUUGCAUAAUGUG